AGAGUUUGAUCCUGGCUCAGAAUGAACGUUGGCGGCAUGGAUUAGGCAUGCAAGUCGAGCGAGAAAUUUUAGUUUGAAGCUUCGGUUGAUUUCUAAAAUGGACAGCGGCGCAAGGGAGAGUAACGCGUAGUUAUCUACCCUGAGGUCUGGAAUAGCUGUGGGAAACUGCAGGUAAUACCAGAUAAUAUCUACGGAUCAAAGGUGUGAUUCCGCCUCAGGAGGAGACUGCGUACUACUAGCUUGUUGGUAGGGUAAUGGCCUACCAAGGCUUUGAUGGUUAGCGGGCGUGAGAGCGUGGCCCGUCUCACUGGGACUGAAACACUGCCCAGACACCUACGGGUGGCUGCAGUCGAGAAUCUUCGGCAAUGGGCGAAAGCCUGACCGAGCGAUGCCGCGUGCGGGAUGAAGGCCUUCGGGUUGUAAACCGCUGUCAGUAGGGAGGAAGGACUCGUGAAGAGCGAGUCUUGACCUAUCUUCAGAGGAAGUCCGGGCUAA
rnacentral:rRNA from 1 species